rnacentral:rRNA from 1 species
GAUGAACGCUGGCGGCGUGCCUAAUACAUGCAAGUCGAGCGAACGGACGAGAAGCUUGCUUCUCUGAUGUUAGCGGCGGACGGGUGAGUAACACGUGGAUAACCUACCUAUAAGACUGGGAUAACUUCGGGAAACCGUAGCUAAUACCGGAUAAUAUUUUGAACCGCAUGGUUCAAAAGUGAAAGACGGUCUUGCUGUCACUUAUAGAUGGAUCCGCGCUGCAUUAGCUAGUUGGUAGGGUAACGGCUUACCAAGGCAACGAUGCAUAGCCGACCUGAGAGGGUGAUCGGCCACACUGGAACUGAGACACGGUCCAGACUCCUACGGGAGGCAGCAGUAGGGAAUCUUCCGCAAUGGGCGAAAGCCUGACGGAGCAACGCCGCGUGAGUGAUGAAGGUCUUCGGAUCGUAAAGCUCUGUUAUUAGGGAAGAACAUAUGUGUAAGUAACUGUGCACAUCUUGACGGUACCUAAUCAGAAAGCCACGGCUAACUACGUG